rnacentral:lncRNA from 1 species
UCACUCACUCAUUCACAAUCAACAGAACUAAAAAUCUUCUGAACCAAAUACGUUCACAUUUGGCAUAUGUGUUCAGUUGGCCUUCUAGAGGCGCACUAACAAUGGAUUUGAGAAAAUUUCCGAGGAUACGGUAAGCCCAAAAUCUGCGAUUAGAUUUGUCAAGUUCGCCACAUCGUAUCAUUGUGUUUCAAAGAACUAUUAGACUGAAAUACAAUAGUUCUCACAAUACCCUAACAAAGUCUCUUGAUAAGAAAUAACUGAAUUCUAUUUAUUAUUUCUGAUAAAACAUAAUUAUUGUGUUUUUGUUUCAUGAUAAAUGAAUUAAUAUAGUGCAGAGGACGUGGGUGUAUCUGUGCGGAAGUGUUUCUGUCACUAUCACAUUCUUUUUUCCUUAAAAAAAAAAUCCUUCUACUAGUGGGUGGAUUGGAAUUGACGCUUUGUCUAUUGAAGUAAACUAGUAUUCGCUUCACUUGUGAUUGAGCUUUCAAACUGAUCAGUGACUUCUCUCUACGCUCUUUCUCCACCUCAGCGUCAGCACCUCCUCCACUCUCUCUGCACCUCAGGACUUCAGCAGCACAACCAGCAAGUAGGCAAUAGGACUGAAGGUAUCUGGUCACCUCCACUACCAUGCAUAAACUCUUUCAGUCAAGUCAUGAUGAGACGACCAAGGGACCCAAAGUCGACAAUCGGCGAUGAACGACUUCAAUGAUGAGCAAUUCGGCGAGGAACUUUCGAGUAGUCGACAAUUCUGCGAUGAACGUAAUCAGAAAAUAGGAAAACUAUGAGUGGAGAAGAGUGUACAAUGAGGUGGACGAGACGGAAGAUUAGUCUACUGUUGAACAGUCCGACAAAAAAAUCAACGAAUUUACUUCUCUGAGGGAAGUGUUUCACCUUCGAACGCUGAUAGAUAUUCUCUCCAAAAGAAGAGGUUGAGAGAGAACUCACACAACUCUGCACUACUCUCAACCAGCUGCUCCCUCAUAGGGACAGCUAGAUUUUAGAAACGUUGUUUAGAGAGGGCUUCAGGAGUCUGCUAAAGGGUUUUAUGGAAAACUCCCACCACCCCACACUACUCCCAACCAGCCUCACCCUCAUGGGAUGACAGUGACCAGUUCCUGACACCAUACCUGACUAGACUUUGCUGACAUAAUACGUAAGAGAUGCUGACAUCAUACCUGGAUGUAACGGCUACUGGACAACACUCACCUUGAUUAGCGACAACAUCUUCAUUGUGCCAACUGUGAUAUCAAUAGGCUACUAUGAAUCUGUGAUAUCAACUGUGAUUCUAUGAUAUAAACUGUGAUUAAUAUGAUAUCACUGAUAUCAUACCUAGCUGUAACGGUUACUGAAAAAUACUUCACAUUGAUCAGCGGUUACCUGUGUUAGGGCCAACUCUUCACUGUGUGUUUCUCUAGUCUUGUGUUAUGUACGUCACCAACUAAAAAUUGUGCAUUUAAUAAUAUGUGUGCCGCAAACUCGAAUCUUGUGCAAAAUUCUGCAACUGUUCAAAUAAAUAGUAACUUGCAACUUUAUCUUUACAAAGUUGCAUAAUUAUCAUAAGAAUGUUAUUAAACUCUUGUGACACACUCUUGACUGCUCUAUGCCCAAUAGGAAAAGAAAAGUUGAAGUGCAUUACAUAACAGAGUAAUGCAAUUGAUUGCUGAAUAAUACGUAAUUUGAGCGGGUUUCUCUAUAAAUGAAAGUUUAUACCUCUUCCUUAUCUAUAUCAAUAAACUCUGCCGCUCUGGCAUUAACAGUAGCUCUGGCAUUCCUGAUGAUGUCGAUCAUGCUGAUUUUCACAUGUCCAGACAGUCUACCCUUUCCGUUUGUUCGCUGCUUCUUGGAUGCUGUAUUCCAAGGAUGAAUGUUAAUUCACUCAAUCAGAGAGGCAAUUUUUCACGAUUCAACUAAAUGAAGGUAGUGCCAAUAAGUGGUUUAAGGAACCGUAAUCUUCAGCUGCUAGCGAUGCCUGGUCUGGGUUCGAAUUCCGCCCACAGGCAUGGAUGUUUGUUCUUCUCAUAUCAUCACUCACGCACAAGAAACAUGCUCAUGUGGGCAUCAUCUGCAAGAGAGUGUAGCCUAUAGGACUACUUAGUGCAAAUUCUCAACGUUGGUUUAUGAAUCCUACAUACAGUGAAUACUGUAUAAUACUGGGCUAUAACGAAUUCAAAUAGUGAAAUCAAAUUGGCUCAUUAGAAGUAUUUAUAUUGGACUUUGAUUUAGUUUUGUAUUGAUUGAUGAUUUCAAUCUUGUAUGCUUCAAUGAUUAUUUGCUCCUCAGAUAUGAGACAUUUUACUGUAAAAAAACAAUUCAUUACUGUACUUUGCUGCGUCAUGAUUUUUUAUCAUUUCUAUACUCAACAAGUAUUUCAUCAUUGAUUCCGUUACUUAAUGAUAAUGCCUCUGUACUCACUUUCAGUUCUGGAUAAAGGUGAACAAAAUCAAGAUAUCAAGUAAAAAUCAAGACAUCAAUGUGAAAAAUUUAGGAAUAAAGAAUGAAUACGUAUCGUACAGGUACCUUACUUUAUACGUUGACAAAAGCAAAAUCAAAACAUAAUCAUAAUCACAUUAAUCACUUAUUACCUACAUCAUACCAUAAUCAUAGCAUUUCAGCUCAUUUAUAAAUGUGUAUUUGUAUUUUAUUUAAUUUCCGUUAUUGAUUGUAAUGUAUCUGUAUUGAAUACAAGUACAAUGUAUCUGUACAUGUAUAAUAAAUAUAGUGUUUCUUUAUUUGUAUUUGUUGCAUUGCUUUGUUUCUUUCUUCUGUCAUGGUGAUCACCACAUCUUUCCUGCUGUUGCUCUACUUAAUCUUAUUCAACUAAUUAUGUACUAGAAAUAUUAUUUCAUAUUUUUUCAAUUUGUUUUAUUGAGUGCUGAUAUGCAAUGAUAAUCAUUUGAUAUUGUUUGAUAAUUUGAUUUUAUUUGCGAUUAAUAAGAUAUUAUAAUGUUUUGAUUUUGUCAAAGUAUAAAGUAGGCCUAUAAAUAUUAACUCUAUAUCUAAAUUUUUCACAUUGAUGAUGUAUUUAGAUUUCCAUCUUUUCAAUUGUUCACGAUUUUGUAAUGUUGUCAAAAAUUCAUGAUAAGUUGAACUUUUGUGACAUUUUCACUUGGCAGAGAAAAGAUAGAAUAGGGGUACCAUGGUGAAACAAGCAUUAUAUUUAAUAUGUCUGAGGGAUUUUCUGAAUAUGGUUAACUACUAAAGUUCAUAGAAUGUAUAGGAAUUUAAUUUGUUGAUUUCCUAUGUUGAAAUUGAUUAAAUGAAAUUAGAUGAAUGCUUGAAUGUUUUUAAUGUGGUGAUGACAAAUUUUGAACUGUUUUCAGUAAAAGUAUUCAAAUGAACUGUUACAAGUGAUAAACAAACUAUACCAGUUGAAAGCAUCACAUGUGGCAAAUCAGAUGAUUCGCCACAAAUCUAAUACUGAUUCAUCGUGUUGUACUCCUAAUAUUAUGUUGAAUAUAGUCCUCAAUUUUAUUUCAUAUAAUUAUUGCAAUAUUGUCCGUUGCUUUUAUUUCUAUUUAUCUGUUUUUUCAACUAAGGGUGUUUUGUACUAAACGGUAUUGGGAUCGACCUAUCACAUACAAACAAAUAAUAAAAUAUAAGAUAUUCUAUUCAAUGAAAUUUUUGAAUUCUUUCAAUUUUUCCCAAUUGUUGGGAACAUUCUUCUUGGAAUGAGGGAGGAAUGCAGUGAUAAACAAAAUAUUUCGCAAAAUAUGGAACCGAUUAUUUAUCAAUUUAGAAAUUUCAAAUCCCGUCGGAUUUUCAACUACAAUAUUCACUACACCUUAACACAAAUUCCAAAUGUCUGUGGAUGUGUGCUCCUAUGAUAUGAAAGAUUCUAUAAUUUAUUGACUCAAUGGCUCAACUUGGCAAAUCACUUGAGGGUUCAUACCAUUUACUAUAAUCCUUACACUGCAAGAUCAUUUUUCUCAUAGUCUGUCUCCAUCAGAGCAGCCAGUAGUUUUUCAACUACUACUCAACACACAAACUACCACAAAACUACCAAGGUCGCCCUUGAUACCGAAUUCACCGUAUCAAUUCGAAUGUUUCAAUUUAUUUGCCAUAAAAUUAGAGAAUUUCUGUUCUAUGUAAUGUUUACCAUUCUUUAGUGUCUCUCAUAAUACAAACUAACUAUACAAUUUAAAUCCAUGUUCCUACACGUAGAUGAAAUGGAAUUCAAGCAUUAUUUGCUUCUAAUCAUAGUUAUAGUCACAGUGAUUCUGAAUGAUUUUUUUCCAGUUUCUCUAACAUUUUAUAAUGCAUAAACAAGGGAAACACUAUCUAUUUGAAUGAUACAAUGUAUCAUAAAUGUCAUUUGAAUGUUUUCAAAUUAAAAUUGUAUUAAUGGUUUGAGAGAAAUCUACUCUAUUCUAUAAAUGAGUUCUCAUCUGAAGCCUGUGAUAUUUAUGUAUAAAUUGUGUUAUUACUAUAUUUAUGUAUGAACUGUGUUAUUACUAUAUUUAUGUAUGAACUGUGUUAUUACUAUAUUUAUGUAUGAACUGUGUUAUUACUGUGAUGUAUUUUGUAUAAUUUUACCUAGAUAUGUUCUGUGAUUGUCAUUGUGAUUGUCAUUUUUGACGAAACUAUAUAGGCUUAAACUCUCUAGUGAAUGAAACACAUUAUAUUAUUAUCAAGACUGAGAUGAAAAUGAUAAACUAUCAUGUUUUUUUAUUGAAUUGAAUCUUGUAUUAUUGAAGUAAAAUAUUUUAUAAAAUUU